CAUGCAAAUGAAUUUAUUGUUUUUUCCUUUGUAGGCUUUUGGUAGCCCAUAGAAGUAUUUGAUCAGAGAUGUGAAUGCAAGUUUUUAAGAAGAUCAUCUGACAGUGUUGUACAUAUGUAUUGGAGUAAGAGAAUACACACCAGUGAGAUGAGGUUAUGUUCACAGACAGAUGCAUUAACAGUGAAAGCUGUUGAAAAGAUUUUUCCAUUCAUGGAUUUCAAUGAGAAAGGAUGAAGAAUCAAAGUCCUUUUAAGGAUUAAGCAAAGGAUUGGCAGGUUACACUGGGAAUCCUGAAAACAAUGAAGGUACAGAUGUGUCAUGGUUUGUGAGAUGUGAGCUCAGGAGACAUGCAAUUGUGAGGUAUUCUACAGAAUAAAUUGGCAGUGACUGCGCAGCUGUAGAUGAAAACAUCACGCAGUGUUGACAAGGUAAGUCAGAAAUGCAUUACAGAGAAUUUGAUAUUAGUUAUGUUGUAAAUAACAAAAGCUGAUUAUGCAUAGCAAAAUAAAAUAAUUUACUUGAGUAAUAAAAAAAUUGCAAAACAAGUUUGAAUUACCACAAUUCCAGAAUGUAAGUAGUCAUAAAAUUUUAAGAAACCUCAGAAGCAGUGUUACUGAAGUUUAUUCUAGAAUAUUAGAGGAUAUAAUUUUCUCAUGUUAUUAUAUUUUAUAUAACAGAUUAUAACAGAAAUAUUGUAUAGUUAUGCAUAUCAAAAUGGACUGAACAUUUUUAUUCAUGAAUUGAUUUUCUGGAUACAUAUAAAUACAGAUCUGACUUGGUUUUCAGAUUUGUAAAUUCAAUUUUAUAAAACAUUUAUUGAGAUAUAAUUAGCAUAUCAUAAAAUACACUCUUUAGAGCAUACAAUUUUGUGGUUUUUAAGAUAGUUGCAGAGUUGUACAAUUCUGCCAACUUAAAAAUUUUAGGAUAUUUUAUCUUCCAAAAUAGAAAUCUGGUACCCAUUACAGGCAGCUUCCGUCCUCUUCAAAUCUCAAACCCCUGGCAACCAGUAAUCAACUUUUGGUCUGUAUGGAUAGGGUUAUUUUUAAAAUUUCAUAGAAACAUGAUCCUACAAUAUGUGGUCUUGUGUCUUCUUUCAAUUAGUAUAUUUUCAAGGUUUAUCUGUGUUGUUGCAUGUAUAC